rnacentral:misc_RNA from 1 species
AUCUGAUGAAAGAUUUCAAUAUCCAGCAGAAUUCUUGCCAUUGCACUAGUUUCAGGACCACUGGGCUCAAUUGUAAUUCAUUGACUAGUGACAAGUGUACUCUGUAUGGAAAAGGAUUAGGGGGCCAGCCCGUCAUUUCUGAGUUCCAAAAAGGCAGUUGUUUAUCCCACACAGAUUUUUCGGUCAUUAAAACGAGAAAAACAAGACUAGCAUCCGAAUAGUUCAAGUUGAGAACAAUAUUUACAGAAAAAAAUCAUACUCCAUAUGUAGACGCUGCCUAAUUACAACGU